rnacentral:lncRNA from 1 species
CUUCAAGGCUAGAGCGGCCAGACUUCUGCUCCGCAGCGAGGAAACCCACGGGCCAGCGUGAGGUGCGCCUGCCCUGGGAAGCAAAGCUGUCAGCCCCGAGCUAAGCUUUCCUGAGAAGGGGACAAAUGAGGACCAAGAGCACCUGGUUUUAUACUAGAGCAAGGGGCAGCCCUUCAAGCCAAGAGGAAUCUAAAGGUGAGAGCCAUAGUGGAACCGAGGGAGGACAGGGGAGGGUGUGGAGGCUCAAAGGCGCUCACGCCCCAGCCCUUCUCAUUUUCCUGCACUUCGGCUUCCUGUCUCUCCUGAGAGCCCCCCCCACACACACUUAGAGGCACCUGUAUUACAAGGAACAAAUGGGAGGCUGAAAAAAGCCUGGGGUGUUCAGCUCCUGCCCACAUCCAGUAGCCAGCUGGCAGCAUGCUCGACCGAGGGUGGGACCGACCGCUCCUGGGGGGUCCCAGUCAAUCCAAAGGGCCCUCUGGGGAACAAAGAACCAGAAGAGGAAAAGCACUCCAGGUCCUUGGCAAUCUUGUCCACCUCCUGUAGCCCCUCAUAACCUGCACCCUCAAAGCCGGUCACUCACGCCCCUGUAGGAACCACCAUUCUCCUCCUAGCCCCGUGGCCUGCUCCUUUCAGCCCCAGGCAGAACCGAGGAGGACAGUGGGGCCAGCCAGGCGCUGCCAGGCCAGACACCUCGCUGUGCAGGGCUGGGAGGAGGGGGCAGCCGGCGCCUUUGCCCCAGCCUUGGGGAGUUGGCAAAGCAUUCUUCCUGCAAGCUCCAUGGCAGCAGCCAGCAGUGCAGACAGAGCUCCAAGAUGGACAGACACAUGGACAGAGAGCACCGAAUCCAUGCUCUCUGGGGGGGCCUGGUCCUUCCCUUUGGGCAGCUCUAUCAAGCCCAGGGGUAGGGUCCAGUGGCAGCCCCCUUGGGUAGGACGCAGCCUGGGAUGGGAAGAGGAUGUUUCCUGACCAGCCGAGGCUGAUGCAUGGCAGUGUUAGUCACCCCUUCACAGAGCAGCUGUGCCCUCCAGUAGCCCCUUCUCUCCACUUUACCUGCCAAAGUGUCUCUCCUGGGCACCCCUGCCCACACUGGCACAGUUCAACCGGGUGCAAGAGCCCCCGUGUCACUUAAAAGUAUCCUCCUCUAUGACUUCAUGUAAGAGAAAUCUUUAGAGAUCUUCUAAAGAUAGAUUUAAAGGUCAAAGAUUUGGUUCUAAUCUCAGCAUUGCCCCUUUGUACCUCUGAUUUGAGCAAAUUAUGUAAUUGUCUAGGCCUAUUUUUUCCAAAGACUAACAAUAGUACCUAUUUAGCAAGGUUAUUUUAACAAUGAGAUCUAAUAAUGUAUGUGAAAUUUCCUGUACAAAAAGAAGUGAUCAGGGCUUGGGAUGUGGCUCAGUGGUAGAACACUUACCUGACAUGCACAACAUCCUGGGUUCAAUCCCCAGUAUUGCAAAAAAAUAAACAAAUUCAUUAAAUACAUGCUCAAUGCAUGGCAAUGCAUGCUAUAGUCACCUAGGCGUAACAGACCCACAUCCAGCAUUUGGGAAGCACAGUUCUUGCUGUGGGGCUGUCCUGUGUCCUGCAGGGUGGUUAGCAGCGUCCCCACCCUCUCCACUCUGGAUGUCCAUAGCACUCCUUUCUCCUGUUUGUGACAACCAAAAAUGUCUCCACACCUUGACAGUCCCAUCCUGCACUGAGCACCACUGUCCUGGGCAGCAGAGCAGACCCUCACUCCUCCAGCCAUCCACCACCUACCUGCCUCCUGAAGGGCACUGCUCCUCAGCUCCCCCAGCCCAGACACUUCUCCCGCUGUUGCAGUCACUGGGAGAAGCCAGACCAACCAGCUCACUGCAUCUAGGAAAGGCAGCCUGACCAGCUGCCAUGGCCCAACUCCACAGGAAGGCCAGCGCUGGCUGGGAGUGGUCACGAGGAGUGUGGGGGUCACAGGAGGAAUCCAGUGCCUCAGGGAGGAGCCAGGAUAUGCCACAGGGGCUAUGUGCUGGGCAGCCUUGCUUAGCAGCAGCCCACCCCGGGAAGGCUGCUGGGAGCUAGCUACCAGGGAGGUCAGGCCCUCAGCCCUUGGCACUGCCUCCCAGCAACCCUGGAAAGUCUUGAUCCAGGCUAGACCCUACAUGAUUAGGAGGUCCAGGCUGGGUCAGAGAGGUAUCAAGAACUAAGUGC